GUGCCCAGAUGGGAUUAGCUAGUUGGUGGGGUAACGGCUCACCAAGGCGACGAUCCCUAGCUGGUUUGAGAGGAUGACCAGCCACACUGGAACUGAGACACGGUCCAGACUCCUACGGGAGGCAGCAGUGGGGAAUAUUGCACAAUGGGGGCAAGCCUGAUGCAGCCAUGCCGCGUGUAUGAAGAAGGCCUUCGGGUUGUAAAGUACUUUCAGCGGGGAGGAAGGGAGUAAAGUUAAUACCUUUGCUCAUUGACGUUAUCCGCAGAAGAAGCACCGGCUAACUCCGUGCCAGCAGCCGCGGUAAUACGGAGGGUGCAAGCGUUAAUCGGAAUUACUGGGCGUAAAGCGCACGCAGGCGGUUUGUUAAGUCAGAUGUGAAAUCCCCGGGCUCAACCUGGGAACUGCAUUUGAUACUGGCAAGCUUGAGU
rnacentral:rRNA from 1 species